rnacentral:misc_RNA from 1 species
UGCAAAACUCUUCCUAACCAAGUAACCUUUAACUUGAAAUCAAAGCUACAAAUUGACAAAGGCUCACAAACUGACUGUAGCAUAACCAGCAUGCCACUGUGAUUCCUGAACUACAAAGGCAUCCCGUGGUCAAUCAUGAAUGCCCCAAAGUUUCGACUUAACCUCACUGAGAAACCUUAUAUCCUAGAUCAUGAAUUCGUAAAUACACUAAAAGGAAUAAAAAAAAAAAAAAAAGUUUCCACAACAUUUGCACAUUUGGCGCCCCCUUUAGCCCCUGUAAAGCAAGUAAAUGCAAGAUUUGUUUGUUGCACAAUAAUCCAGCACUCCUGCAAGUGCUAUUAAUUUGAGAAAAAUCAGACCGGCCCUCCCCAUGCAUAUAAUGAUUAAAAAGUCUUUCUGUCCCUUCAUAUACCCACAACAUUAAAACGAGCAUCCCAAUCCAUGAACCAAUGAUCUUCUCAAAUUGAUGGCUACUGCUCAUUAAUAUGGUCUGUAACGCAUUGGUCGCCUGAACCUUGGAACCCUUCCAUAACCAUAAGGGGGAUAGAAGGGGGGAGCAGGCAUGAAUGGCCUUCGGGAUCUGAACCCAUAAGGGUUGGGGCGCCUUCCUCGAUAUUGCUUCAUUCCAGGAAUGUUGGUUCUCUUAGCAGAGACCUUUAACUGACGGCCAUGCAGUUCGGAUUCAUUUAACAAAAGAGCAUUUUGAACGGCAUCAAUUUCAACAAAUUCAACAUAAGCAAAUCCUUUUGGCUGACCAAACUUGUCAGUCAAGAUUGUCACUCUGUUACACUCUGUUCACUGUUCCACAGGAUUGAAAAUGCUGCUGCACUUCUUCAGGAGUACAGGUAUAGUCUACCUCUUCCUUUUCAGCUUGACUUGCAGAACCACUUGAGGCAUCUUGGACAGCUCCCAUCUCCUUCUCAACCUUGGCCUGCAUUUCACGGAGAGCGCCAGCUUCUUCUUCGAUCUCCUUCAGUCUCUUCUUCAUGUCCUCCAAAUCCUUGGAGUUAGGACCAUGGUCCUCUUCUUCUUCAGGCCUCGAAGACAUGUCGAUAUCGGCGUCCAUCUCUCCCUCGUCAGGCAUUUCAGUCCCGUACACCUCAUGCUCUUGCUCUUCAUGCUGAUCCAUCCCUCUACGUCUACCGCGGGAAAUUAGGUUCUUGGGGCUAACUGCUAGGGUUUGGGGUUUCAAUUUGGGGUAAAAAAAAAA